CCUGCCCACUGAAUUUAGUUAAAUGGCCGCGGUAUUUUGACCGUGCUAAGGUAGCAUAAUCAUUAGUUUCUUAAUUAGAAGCUGGUAUGAAUGGUUGAAUGAAAAAAUAACUGUCUCAAAUUUAAUUUUAAUGAAUUUUAUUUUUAAGUUAAAAAGCUUAAAUAAUAUUAAAAGACGAGAAGACCCUAUAGAGUUUAAUAUAAAAUUUUAUUUUUAUUUUUAGGAUUUAAAUUUUAAAUAAAUUUUUAUAUUUGGUUGGGGUGAUUAAAAAAUUAAAUAAACUUUUUUAUAUAAAUACAUUAAUUUAUGAAAAUUUGAUCCAUAUUUAUGAUUAAAAGAUUAAAUUACCUUAGGGAUAACAGCGUUAUUAUUUUUGAGAGUUCUAAUCGAAAAAAUAGUUUGCGACCUCGAUGUUGGAUUAAAAUUUAUUUUUGGUGUAGAAGCUAAAAUAUUGGGUCUGUUCGACCCUGAAAAUUUUACA
rnacentral:rRNA from 1 species